ensembl:lncRNA
ACACACACACACACACACACACACACACACACACACACACACACACACACACAGAGAGAGAGAGAGAGACACACACACACAGUCUAAUUACUCCAUGUGCUGAUUUCCUAAGUGGUUCCAUCCAGGUUUCUAGCUUCAAGCUCCUGGCAACCCUCGUCACAGAGGCCCUCAACCCUCAUCACAGAGGCCCUCACAUCACAGAGGCCCUCAACCCUCAUCACAGAGGCCCUCAACCAUCAUCACAGAGGCCCUCGACCCUCAUCACAGAGGCCCUCAACCCUCAUCACAGAGGCCCUCAACCCUCAUCACAGAGGCCCUCAAACCUCAUCACAGAGGCCCUCACAUCACAGAGGACCUCACACCCUCAUCACAGAGGCCCUCAACCAUCAUCACAGAGGCCCUCACACCUCAUCACAGAGGCCCUCAAACCUCAUCACAGAGGCCCCUCAACCCACAUCACAGAGGCCCUCAACCCUCAUCACAGAGGCCCCCACAUCACAGCGGACCUCAACCCACAUCACAGACAAUCUACCCUCAUCUCAGUGCCAC